UUGACCUCAAAUCGGGUGAGACUACCCGCUGAACUUAAGCAUAUCAAUUAGCGGAGGAAAAGAAACUAACAAGGAUUCCCCUAGUAACUGCGAGUGAAGCGGGAAAAGCUCAAAUUUAAAAUCUGGUGGCUUCGGCCAUCCGAGUUGUAAUUUAGAGAAGCGUCUUCCGCGCUGGACCGUGCACAAGUCUCCUGGAAUGGAGCGUCAUAGAGGGUGAGAAUCCCGUCUUUGGCACGGACGCACCAGGGCUUCUGCGAUGCGCUCUCGAAGAGUCGAGUUGUUUGGGAAUGCAGCUCAAAAUGGGUGGUGAACUCCAUCUAAAGCUAAAUAUUGGCGAGGGAUGAGAUAGCGAACAAGUACCGUGAGGGAAAGAUGAAAAGCACUUUGGAAAGAGAGUGAAACAGUACGUGAAAUUGUUGAAAGGGAAACGCUUGAAGUCAGUCGCGUCGACCGAGACUCAGCCUUGCCUCGGCUUGGUGUACUUCUCGGC
rnacentral:rRNA from 1 species